GCGCAGCACUACUAUCUGUUCCGCAUCCCCUCAACAACAAUAACGCUUUGUGAUCAUCGACCACCCUCAUUCUUGAAUUUUCUCGGAGAAUUUCUCAAAGAUGAGAUCUCCGAGAAAAUUGAAGUCUAACCUUAAAUCCGAUUCCAGUGGUAUGGAGUUAGUUCUCCAUGCGAUUUCGGCGAAUAUCGAGCACCCGGUUCCGUUGGACAUUUUCGACUCAAAAUCAUCCGGUCAGAUAAGCUUGAGAAGGUCCCCAAGGUUUGGUCCAAGUUCGGUAGAGACCGUGUUAAGAAAAGUGGCUCGGAAUGUAGAUAAGUUGUUCGAUUUGGCGACUCCAACCAGCGUGAGACGAUCUCCUAGGUUAUCUUCGGGCUCAAUUGAGUUAAAAUCGAGCAAUGUGGCUCCAAGAUUAGGUUCAAAACUGCUUUUGGAGUCUCCGAGUAGCUGGAGAAGGUACCCGAGGUUCAAUCCGAGUCCGUCAGAGGUCAAAAAGAGCAAUGUGGCUAUGCAUGUGGGUAAGAAAUUGACUUUGAUGCCUCCGAGCCACUACCGGAGACGAUCGCCCAGAUUUUCCGGUGCUGAAAGUUGCGAGGCGGAGCCAAUUUCAAGUGAGUUGAUUGUCUCGACGGAGAACAGGAAAAUGGAUAAGGCUAAGAGGGAAUCUGGAAAGUGUGAGAUGGAGUUGUUCGACGAAGUAGCUGUGGGAAGGUCUCCAAGGUUUUCACCACCUGUGGUUGCUGCGGCUGAUAGUGACAUAACUAAAAGUGAAUCAAAACCUUCUAAUGUCAAGAGUAAGAGAUCCAAGGACCAAAACUUGACAUCGAUUUUCAGAAUAGAAGAAAUAAAUUCAAAUGUGGAUUUCUUGAAAGAAAAAUGCCUUAGGAGAUCGCCAAGGGGGACCUCAACUGAGUCGGAAACUAAGAGCUAUUGUUUGAAAGUUGCAUCCGAGAAAAUCUUUUCAAAAAGGUUCCACUCCCAAAAAAGAGGCUACUUUGAAUUAGAUUCACCAAGUUCAUUGAAAUCCAAAACGAAACUUUCACUGGAUGAGGAUAGCAACACAAAAUCUAUGCCCUUAAAAUCUAAUGAUCGAGUUCUGUCUUCUGAAAAACGUAUAAGGUCUCCCAGGCAAAAAUCAACUACGGAAGACAAUACUAGUAAAGAUAUUGAAAAAAUAAUAUCUGAAAUAUCCAAUGAAAAUGGCAUGAGAUCUUGUAAAAUUUCCUCAACAUUAGCUUCAAAUGAAAGUAUCAGACUGAGCACAUCUGAUAAAUUGUCUGCUUUGUCAGAGGAUUGUACGUCUAUGAGUAAUUUGACAUCUUCUAGAGAAUUUGAAGUAUUGUCAUUAGGUGGGGAGGCAGAAUAUGACUUAAUUGAUUUUCCUGAGCCAUAUGAAAAGCAACUUCCAAAGAAAAUUAAAACGUCAAAUUUUGCAAAGAGCAAACUGAAGAAAUCCAAUUGUUCUUUUUUCGUUGGAGAUCCUAUUCCUGACGAUGAAGCUCGAGAAAGGUGGCUCUGGCGUUAUGAAUUGAAGACACAACAAUCCCAUGAUAAAAAAUCGAAACAAAAUGAUGAUGAAGAAGACGAGGUAGUUUUGAAUGUGGAAUGUCAUUUCGCUCAAGCUAAUAUUCGAAAUUGCAUAUAUAAUCUUGGAGAUUGUGCUUAUAUACAGGGUGACGGUAAAAAGAAACAUAUUGGCAGAAUUGUGGAAUUUUUCAAAAUUACAGAUGGUGAGAAGUACUUCAGAGUCCAAUGGUUUUAUCGUGUUGAAGAUACAGUUAUCAAAGAAGAAGGUGCUUUCCACGACAAGAGGCGUUUAUUCUAUUCUACCAUAAUGAAUGAUAACGUAUUAGAUUGCAUUAUUUCAAAAGUGAUUGUUACAAAAAUAACACCUCGGGUAGGGCUGAAAAUAAGCUCCAUUGCCCCAUCUGAUUUUUAUUAUGACAUGGAAUACUGUGUUGACUAUUCAACUUUUCGCUCCAUUGAGAUUGACAACUCUGUAAAGAACCAUUACUUUGCAUCACCUUGUGGAAGCGAAUCAGUCCCUACAACAGACACAAAAACUUACCAAGCGGAGUUGACUCUUUUAGAUCUUUAUAGUGGUUGUGGUGGGAUGUCAACUGGAUUGUGCCUUGGUGCUAAAGCUUCUAAUGUUAAAAUUGUGACGAGAUGGGCUGUCGACUGUCAUAAGCCUGCAUGUGAAAGCUUAGAGUUAAACCAUCCAGAGACAAAUGUCAGAAAUGAAGCUGCUGAGGAUUUCCUUGAUUUACUGAGGGAAUGGGAGAAGUUGUGCAAACGAUAUAGGUCCAGUAGUGUUGAAAGAACUCGUCCAUCAAGGUCAAAGGCCUCAACAGCAGUUGAGGAUGAUCAUGAGAAUUCAACUGAGGAAUUUGAAGUUUCUAGUUUAGUUGAUAUCUGUUAUGGUGAUCCCAAUAACACAGGCAAGCGUGGUCUGAACUUUAAGGUGCAUUGGAAGGGUUAUAAUACCAGUGAAGAUACAUGGGAACCAGUUGAAGACUUGAGUAAUUGCCAAGAAAGCAUAGAGGGAUUUGUAAAAGAUGGGAUGAAAAAGAAGAUCUUGCCACUCCCGGCAGGUGUUGAUGUUAUUUGUGGUGGUCCACCUUGCCAGGGAAUUAGUGGAUAUAAUCGCUUUAGAAAUGUUGAUUCUCCUUUGGAUGAUGAAAGAAACCGCCAAAUAAUAGUCUUCAUGGACAUUGUACACUUUUUAAAACCAAAAUAUGUGCUGAUGGAAAAUGUUGUAGACAUUUUGAGAUUUGACAAGGCUUCUCUUGGAAGAUAUGCAUUGAGUCGUUUGGUACACAUGAAUUACCAAGCAAGGCUUGGAAUAAUUGCUGCAGGCUGUUAUGGUCUUCCACAAUUUCGGCUGCGUGUCUUCCUGUGGGGUGCUCUUCCUCACGAGAAUCUACCUCAGUUUCCGCUUCCAACACAUGAUGUAAUUAUUAGAUAUUGGCCUCCGUCUGAGUUUGAGCGCAAUACUGUUGCUUACGAUGAAGACCAACCUCGUGAGCUACAAAAGGCUCUUGUUCUUCAAGAUGCCAUCUCUGACCUUCCUCCUGUUACGAACGAUGAAACUCGUGAAAAAAUUACAUAUCAUAUGCCUCCUGAAACAGAAUUCCAAAGAUACAUAAGGUCGACAAAACUAGAGAUGGAUGGCUCUGCAUUAAAUGGCACCACAAAAACAAAAUGUUCACUUUAUGAUCAUCGACCUCUCCCCUUGUUUGAAGAUGAUUACUUACGAGUUUGUAAAAUUCCAAAGAAAAAGGGGGCAAAUUUUCGGGACCUUCCAGGUGUAGUUGUUGGAGGGGAUAAUGUUGCUCGACGUGACCCAAAGGAAAAGAUUUUAUUGCUGCCAUCUGGAAAGCCAUUGGUUCCCGAUUACGCUUUUACAUUUGAGCAAGGCAAGUCAAAAAGACCCUUUGCAAGGUUAUGGUGGGAUGAGACUGUGCCCACUGUAGUGACUUUCCCCAGUUGUCGUAACCAGGUAGCAUUACAUCCUGAACAAGAUCGUAUCCUCACAGUACGAGAAUAUGCAAGGUUGCAAGGCUUUCCUGAUUAUUACAGGUUCUGUGGGACUGUUAAAGCAAGGUAUUGUCAGAUUGGAAAUGCUGUGCCGGUUAAUGUCUCUCGGGCCUUAGGAUAUGCCUUAGGUUUGGCCAUUCAAAAGCUUAGUAGCAAUGAACCACUGCUGACUCUCCCCCAGAAAUUCUCUCUUUCUACUAAUUAUGAAUUGGCUAAUGAUCGUGCUUCACAAGACUGAUCAGAAUUAGGCUGUCGAUUGUUCAUUGUUUCAUUUUUGGCGAAAAUGUUCGUCGUACUAGACAUGAGUGCAAUUUUGCAGUUCCCUCCCAAAAAACAAUUUUUUCAAGGAAAAAAAAUAGAGACUAGAUUCUCGGCUGUACAUUAAUCACUAAGUUCCGGCAAUUGGCCAGAAAGUUUCCAGAAAGGAAUUUUUGAAUCGCUAAGGGAAAGAAAGGAAUCCGAGGCUAAAGAGAACACUAAGCUGGAAAUGCUGCUGAAUUGCUGGAGAAAUGCUAUAGCAUUUCUGGGUACUGGGAAAUGAUGUGGACAAAAUACCAGCAGGCUUUUCUUCAUCUAACUCAGCGCUUAUGUGGCAGUCACUUAAAAGUUAGGUCAGCUGGCUGAUGUGGAUUGGACUAGUGGACCAAAGAGAAGAAAGUGGGCUUUUUAAUUAGGGUAAAAUGAAAAUUGUACCCUAGAGAGGAGGCAACUAAGUACCAGCCACCAUCACAUUGAUUACAAAAAAAAAAGAGGAGCUGCCAUUAACGUGGGAGAAAAGUUGCAGAAAAAAAGAGCAUGAAGAAGAAGAAGAAAAAGAAGGAAACACAGGGAAUUGAAUGAGGCAGAUAAGGACAAGAAGAUCUAACCUACAACACCAUCAAUCUAGGCUUUGUUCUCAUUUCUUCCUUUCUUCUCUAUUUUGUAUUUUCUUAUUUUGCAUAGCUAUUCUAGCACUCAUGGAUAUUAAUUUUCUGUUUUGGUUUAUGUUUGCUACUUUAGUUAUGAGCUAAACUUUUGAGACUUGAAUGGUUAAAAACCCCUUUUGUCAUGUAUUUUAAAUUUGAAUGCAUUACUUAAGCUAAAUUGUCAUUGUUCA